GUGCCCGUAACUCAGUGGUAGAGUGUGAGAUUGCAAUCGUUGGCAGUCCUUCUUCAAUGUUGCAUUAAUCUUGAAGCCCCGUGUUCGACCCACGGCGGGCACU